UACGGAGGGUGCAAGCAUUAAUCGGAUUUAUUGGGCGUAAAGGGCGCGUAGGCGGACUUGUAAGUCAGAUGUGAAAUUCCUGGGCUUAACCCAGGAGCUGCAUUUGAAACUACUUUUCUUGAGGGUAGGCGGAGAAAACGGAAUUUCACAAGUAGCGGUGAAAUGCGUAGAUAUGUGGAAGAACACCGGUGGCGAAGGCGGUUUUCUAGCUUACUCCUGACGCUGAGGCGCGAAAGCUAGGGGAGCAAACAGG
rnacentral:rRNA from 1 species